rnacentral:lncRNA from 1 species
CCAUGAGUGGAGGUGCCGGCACGAGUGGGUGGAUGAGAUGAUCCUGAAGGCUGAGAAGCAACAGACUGAACUGCAAGAGAGAGUCUGAUGGUAUCUAGAAGGUUCAAGGCUCUCGAAACAGACUGUAGCAGUGCAGUAAACUGGGUGGAUGCAUGCUCACUAGAGCCUCUGAUCUCUCUCCUCAGAAAAUCAAAUCCACUCUCCAAAACUCCUCUAAGUCUGGCUGCCUCCGUAGAUAGGUCUGAGACCUCAGUGAUGCACUCCUGUGGCUGUGGAUGUGCCAGAGCUAACACUUACCCCUGCAAGUCAAGUACUCUCCCAGUCAGUCUCAAUAUAUAACCCUCAAGCUGCUGAAUGCAAACUGACUGAUCUGAAAUCAUCUGGAAGAUAGUGGAGAUGUGAGGGAUCAAAGUCUGAUCAGAUACAUCAUGUGAUGUGGAUCCCUGUGCAAAAGCUGAAGUGCCCAACUGUCGAGAAAGUAAGGAAGCCACACGCUGAGAGAUCAUCUCUAUCUGGUCAUCAGCCAAUCUGAUCUCUGAGGGAUGUGCUCUGCUGUCUGGUUGCUAGAUUGGAGUGUACCUCCUAGUAGACUCUGAUGGUCCAGCCUCAGGAUCAGAAACGAACUGAAUGUCUGGAGAUGCAGCCCUGAUAUCAUGGAGAGGUGAUGAAGGACCUUCUUCCUC